CUGGGUGCCCAGUCAGGCCUCUGCCUGGGCGCAGGAGCCGCCGUCUCUCUGCCGGCCGUCUUGGGCUGGAAGCCUUUGCCUUAAGCUUUCCCUUAAGUAUAGAAUACGUAUUUUCCUAGAGUUUUAGAAAAAGAGUCCCUCCAGUUAUUCGAUAAAGUCUGUUUUCAGUUUAGCUAAAUAAUUCCUUUUCCAGAGCUUGUAUCUCCCUGUCGGCGUUUGUAGAUCGUGCUGUUUCUUGAGGAGGACGUGGCCACCUUCCCCGGAUAAAGUGAUUUCUUGGCAUUUGUGGUCCCUGUGAAAACUGGAAGGCAAGCAACUAAAAGAGAGAGUGACUGGAUAAAGAAAUUCAGUGUCAAAGGUGUCUAUAGCAUUAAGUUCUUUGAAUUUUCAGAGAACUCGAUCAAUGAAGAAACCAGAUUUAUUUGGGGUUUUCACAGAAGUUAAACCUAACAUCCUACUACUAACGUUGUGUGGCAAAGGAAGGCAACUGGCCCUUCAUUGGGGUCUGUCUCUGGUGACUUAUGUAGUCCAUUUGCUGAGGUCAUAUUUCCCUGAUCUUGAUGCUUUUGGAUAUUCAUCAGUGUCUGGGCAUUGAAGA